GAGUCUCUCUCCGCUUCCUGAUCAUCGUGUGAUCCACUUCCCUCCACCCGACUCUUCCACCAUGAUGUUAACCCUGAUUGUGAGCCUGGAAGAAUGGAGCCUGCUGUCUAUGGACUAAAACCUCUGAAAUGUAUGCUGCAACAGACAACGCUGGAGUCUGGCCUAACAGAUGCUUUUCUAAAGAGUGGAGUUCACUUGAAAGUCAGAAGAGGCCAGAAGUUUGGAACUUUCAAAGCUGUACACCAAGUGUGUUUAUGAUAUCCAUUCCACACUGGAGAUGAAGGUUUACAGCAGCCCUGCAUCAAGAAGUUGAUUAUCACCACUUUCUGAACAGCUGGGAUGAUGAUUAGCCUUUUUACCAAUAAUUUUUAGAUUAAAGUGCAUGUACUGGUUUUCAGACAUAAUGCUAUUACUCACAUAACAGGCUCAUAACUUUUAUAUGCACUGUGAAACAAAAUUUCAAUGUGUACUGGGAAACCAAAGAAUUGUGUGUGCUAAUUUAUUGCAUUAUAUGCUUCAUUGUAGUGGUCUGGAGCAACCCACUAUAGCUCUGAAGUAUGCCUAUAUAUUAAAUUAAUACUAGUCUGAAUUGAGACUAAAAAUUUAAAUAAGUCAUUCAUGGAAAGGUAAAGAAAUAAAAGCAUUCCAGGGAAAAGGCAUAGCUUGUGAAAAGUCAUAGAAUUAUGAAUAGUACAUCCUAUUUUCUUUUUUUAAUGAAUUUUUAAAAAUGUUUAUGUUAUUUAUUUAUAUGUGGUGCUGAGGAUGAAACCCAGGGCCUAACACGGGAUAGGCGAGUGUUCUCCCACUGAGCCACAACCCCAGCCCCACACAUGUCAUUUCCAAGAAACUUCUGGCUGUUCCCUAAGGUGAGUGCAGAAGACACACAUUUUCACAAUCAGCACCCGAGAACCAAACGGAGUGACCUGUUGCCAAAUUUGUUGUUGUCUUUCUCAAGGUUUGUUUAAAACCAAUCAACAAAAUUAACAACCAUAAAACAAACCUUUGCUGUGAUCCCAACUUCCCUUUUAUUCUUCUCUUCAUGCUGAGU